CUCCUCUUCCUCUUCCUACUCCUUUACAGUACAUUAAGACCAGACAAAAGAUCGUCAGUACUCACUGGUUUGUCAAAAGAUUCGAUACUUACUCUUUCAAGAUUAUACGAGCCGAAGAGAAAUACUUUAGGAUUAUCUUAAAAGACUAUAAAAAAUUACCUGAUUUCUAUACAAUUAAAAUUGUCCCACCUUUUCAACUCUUAUCAAAAUUCUUUACUAGUCAAAGUGAAUGCGGAAGACAAUGGAAUAUUAAUUUAUCUUGGCUAGGCUGUUCUGCUUAUAACUGCAAGAAUAGGCCUAAUUUCGAGCAAUUUUCUGCUGAUACCUUGGAAACAGGAUGUGACUCUUGCCGUAGAAAUUGCAACUAUAGCAUACCUACAACAACAAUACCUGUUACCCUUGUGAAACUCGUUCGUAAUCCUACUCCAAGGACAACACUUACUCCUAUUGUUAUUCAUUCUUGCGAAUUACAAUUAGGGAAGAUAAGAUCAUUUAGCAGUAGAAAUAUUGAUGGUUCUAGAGCGUGUAGUGGGAAUUUAUUGUUACUAACGACCUUUUCCAGUAAAAACAGUCCGUUAAUAUCUUUAUACGUUCAUCUCGACGAAACUGGACGUAGAGUUAUCGCUAUGCACUCGACAUCGAAUCAAUAUUCGUGCUUCCAAUCGGACGGUGGAUCUGGUCAAAUUACAUGCCAAUACUUCUACGAAAGAACUUUUUCCUUCAAUUAUCGUCAAGGUGAUGGCUCUGAUUGGCUACUAAUACAAUAUAAGAAUUUGAAUGGAGUUAUUGUUAAUGGCGGGGCUUGUAAUAAUGAGAUAAAGUGUAUACAAGUCAAUAGGAAAGAGCAACAAUGUAGGAUUGAGAAACCUUUAAUGAAUUCAUUAGUUUUUAUGUUUGGUGACUGGAGGAGUAAAAUAUAUAAACCAUACUAUAUUGGAGAAGGAGGUCACCAGUAUUGUUUGAAGGGUCGUCUCUUGGAUUCCGAUUGCAAGACUCAAAUUAGAACUUAUCGACAAGAUUUCAAUUGCAGACAGAAAGGCUUUGUAAGCAAGAGAAGUUGUUCCUUUCACGAAUGUGUUCCGACAAUUAAAUGCCGAACAGAACAACUGACAAACACUAUGUCCCUAAUAAGGUUUUCCUCCCUUAAGAAAGCUUUUGAACCAGGUGAGAGCGUCAUCGUAGCUUGUUCGGCAGGUUAUUACAUUUACGGUAUGUCUCAUACCGAAGCGAGAAUUGAAGCGAUCUGUAAAACUCAAGGCUGGAAUGCUAAGGUUAAUUGUGUCGAUAUAAACGAAUGUCAAUUACACGAAUUUAAGGAGAAGAGAAGAAAAAAGCCAAACUAUUGCCAAUCCUGUACUAAUUUACCGGGAACGUUUCGGUGCAGUUGUCAAAGUGGAUUUAUUCCCAAAACGGAUGAUCCUAUGAAUUGCAGGCCUAGAUGCAGAGAUGAUGAUUGCAAUGCCCCCUAUGGGAGAUGUAAUACUACGUCUGAAGUGUUUGCUUGUAUAUGUAAAGAGUCAUUUAAGGGGAAAACUUGUAAUAUUCCAGUUAAUCCUUGUUUAAGGAGUCCUUGUAUUCGUGGAACGUGUAGACCUCAAUCAAUUGGAAACACUCCACAGUUAAGAGCUGUUUGCACGUGUCUUAGAGGCUUUACAGGGGAAAAAUGCGAUAUUCCAAAUCCGUGCUUUAGUAACCCCUGUAACAAUAACGGUACUUGUGUCCAUGUCGAUAGAGGACAGAGAUUUGAAUGCAAGUGUUCUAAAAAAUAUGGCGGAUUAUUCUGUCAAAACAGAGUUUGCGAUAUAGAAGUUUGUCGUAACGGAAUUUGCGUAGACGAUCGCUGUAAAUGUCGUCCUGGUUACCAUGGGAAAUGGUGUAACGAAUUUGACAUUUGCGAAACGUUACCCUGUAAAAAUGGUGGAACUUGCAAACGUACCAGUCAUCUUUCGUACGUUUGUCAAUGCCCUAGAAGAUUUUUUGGUAUAAACUGUACUGAGGUGGACUAUUGCCACAGUAACCCUUGUCAGAAUGGAGGACAAUGCAGAGCUGUUGGAAACGCCUAUAAAUGUACCUGUAUAACCAAUAAACAAUUUAUGUAUUCAGGACCAAACUGCAAAAUAUCAAAACCGAAUCCCUGCUUCUCUAAUCCAUGCUGGAACGAAGGUGAAUGCAUUUAUAGUGAACGAAAAAUUAAUGGUCAAAACUUCAAAUGCGAUUGUCCAAGAGGUUACAUCGGUGAUAUUUGUCAAUCGGCAAGCCUGAAAUCCUGUUGUAACAUUUGGAAUAAUUUCAUAAGGACUUUUGAUGGUUACAUUCACAGGAGGAGGGAAAUUUGUAAAGAGAGUUUGAUUAUCGAAAAAAGAUCUUCAUUUAGAAUUGAUCUAAUUACAAAGGAUAGUUUUCCUGAUAAAUUUGGAUGGCCAGAAAGACAAAUCCGCCUUACGCUAAACAAUCCGCACAAGAUUAUUCACCUUACUCAAAAUCAGGUUCCCUAUGAAAAGAGUAAACAUUAUCAAAUAUAUAACAUGGCGAAUGGCAUGUCAAAAGUUCUUUGGAAAGGAGGGCAUGAGCUCUUAUUUGACCGAUUCAGGGGAUUAAAUAUUUGUUUAAAUGAGCGCCAGAGAAAUAGCUUUGAGUCGAAUGGCCUUUGCGGUAAUUUCAAUGGAAAUAAGAAAGAUGAUUUCAAUCCCGCAACGGUGAAAAGUUGUUCAAUAGUCCCACCUCCAACUUCAAAUUGUCUAACGAAAAUAAUUGAAGGCAAUACAAAGAGGUUUUUCGCUUAUUUUAUGAAUUCUGCAAAAUUAUGCUUUUCCUCUCCAAUCUGGAAUAGCAUUGACAUGGAAAAGCUAAUCAAAGAAGAUACUUGCGGCUAUUCAAUUGGAGCAUUGGAUUAUUCUAUAUGUUCAGAUUUCUUUAAUUUGAGAGGAAUCUGUAGGAUACCGUAUGAUAGUGUUCAAUGGAAUAAUGUUUGUGAUAGAAAAACUUGCGGACCAAAUUGUAAUGGCCGUGGCAUUUGCGUACCAAAAUUUCGCGGUGGCACCUGGUGUGUUUGUUAUAAGGGAUUUACAGGACCUUAUUGCGAAAAACAAAUAGCAACUCAACCUUGUACUUCUCAUCCUUGUCAGAAUGGUGGAACUUGUAGAAAUUCAGAAACACAUGACUAUACUUGUUCAUGUCGCGGAGGCUGGAUGGGGAAAACAUGUACGGAAAGAGACUGGAAAUGCUGCUCGUCAACCGGAGAUCCGCAUUUUAUCACUUGGGAUGGAGCGUUAUUCGAUUAUCAAGGUGUUUGUCGCUACGUUUUAGCCAGGAUCAAUAAUGAUAACGUGAGAAUUGAAAUUCGAGUAUCGACUAAGAAGAGUGAAAAUUUCGAUAAUCAAGUAUCAGUUACGGAUGAAGUUUAUAUAAAAGUAACAAAGAGUGGAUUCAAUACUCAAAGUUAUCUUUUGAGUAGUUUCCUGAAUAAAAACCAAACUCUACCAUUUUCAUCUGAUUCAAUUAUGAAAAUUACUAGCAUUGGUAAGAGAAUAAUAUUUCUUGCGGAGCAUAAAAACGACGCCGUAGAAGUGACGCUUACGUUAAGUGAUGUUCGAGAGGCCGAUGUUUGUAUUACUGGUAGUAAAGAGCAACUUAGAGACGGUAUCUGCGGUAAUGCCGAUGGUAUUUCCGGUAAUGAUUGGGUAAUGAGAAAUAGAAAAAGUAAAGUUCUUACAGAUAGCUUAGAAAAUGCUGAAUUAAUUGUUGAGAGUUGGAGAGAUAGUCGAAUGUCCUGUCCCCUUGUUAAAAAUCCACCACUUUGCCAAAGGAUCGACCCCUAUUGUCGUUCUCUACUUGAUAGUGAAGAUUUUGAUUCUUGUCGUCGAAGGCCUAACAGUGGUGUAUUCGACUACUAUAGAAGUUGCGCGAUGGAUGUUUGUCAUGGGAGUCCUAGCUUUGCUCGCUUCACCGCCUGCGAGAUUAUUCACGAAGUUGUCGUAAACGUUUGCGGUUUAAAGGAAGAUGUUUUGGCAAAGUAUUGUGGAAUUGGUGUUUGUUCUCCCAACAAAUGCAUUAAUGGCCGUUGUGAACCCAUCGGUAGUCGUCACCACGUGUGCGUAUGUAAUCAAGGAUACGGAGGAGAGUCUUGUUCGAUUCCACCUGCCACUAAUCCCUGUAACCAAGUGUCUAGGUGUAAAAAUGACGGUAUUUGCGUUGCCAAGGGACAAAGUAACUUUAGCUGCAAGUGUCAUCAUAACUAUAGUGAUAAAAUAUGUAGUAGGGGAGGCAGUCACUCUUGUUGUAUAAUACCUGCCGGGCCUCAUUAUAUUACUUUCGAUUCAGCUGUCAUCACCUUGUCGGGUGAAUGCUCUUAUGUCCUUUUAGAAGUUGAAAAUAUUCGAUUAAAAAUAUCAGUGACAACUAAAUCAAGUGGUCAAUUGGAACAAAUUAAAUUAAUGUACCAAUCAAAAAUAUAUCAUAUUGGACCUAACGAUAAGAUAAAAGCUGAUGGAAGAGAUAUAUCUCGAUUGGAUAGUCAAUAUCGAGAUGGAAAUGUUGUACUAUAUAGAGCAGCAUCCUCAAUUAUUGCCAAGAUAAACGAUCAAAUUCGAUUAGAAUACAACUCAAUAGGCAGCUUUAUGAUUUGUUUGCCUGCAUAUUACGAAAGAGCGGUAAAAACGAGAGGUCUUUGCGGAACAUACGACGGAGAUCCAUUCAAUGAUUUGCAUAGUAAAGAUGGUAAAAUUUUAAAAAAUGAUCUAAAUGGUAAACUGGAAUUUGGAAGAAGCUGGAAAAUUCCAGAUAAGACUUGCACGGAAGAAUUACUAAUCAGGGAAUGUUCCAAACAAGAUAGAAUACUUUAUAAGUCUCGCCAAUACUGCGGAACUUUAAUUGAUAAUGUAGGACCAUUUUCACAGUGCGAAAGGACUGUUAGACAAAAUUUCUUUGAAAUGUGUAUAAUGGAUUUAUGCAACAGACCAUCUAACUCAUCCAUUCACUCUGUAAUGUGUCCCAAAUACGGAACACUUAUGGAUAAAUGCUCUGAAAAACAUACAAUUGGAUUCCUUAGAGGACAUAUUUGCGCUCCAAAUGGCGUUCGUACUGCAACGGGAUUCUGCCGAAAUGGUGGAAAAUUCAUUAUGAUAGGAUCUUAUAGCUUUUGCGCUUGCCCGAACUUAUAUACAGGACGAUUCUGUGAAAAGCGUGAAUUUGACGUUUGCGCAUCAAUACCGUGUAAAAAUGGGGGGACAUGUUUACCGGAAGGACAAAACUUUGCUUGUAAAUGUCCAAUAGGUUAUAGAGGUCGAACAUGUGGAAAUGAAAGUUAUACGAUAUGUAAAAUACAAGGAGAACCUCACUAUGUAACUUUUGACGGUGCUGAAUUUGAUUCUCAAGGCUCUUGUCGUUAUUCGGCAGUAAUAUCUGAAUCCCCGAAAUUUACUGUUACUAUUAAUACAAAACAAUCUCCUCUAUUUACUAAACGUCUUUCAGUACUUCAUUAUGUUCAAUUGUGGCUAGAUGAGUUUGUUUAUCAACUCGGGCCAGGAAGGCAAUUCGUCCGUUUAAAGAGAGAUGACGUCUUCAACAGACAAAGUUAUUCAAUUACAAACAAAAAGACUCCAUCUGGUGGAGAAGUUCAUGGCAUUUUCUAUAAUCUUCCUAUUAACAUUAGUGACUAUUUAACGGUUCAAGAUCACUCAAGUUUCAUAACUUUAAAUUAUAGACAUUUAGUAGAAAUUGAUUAUUUCCCAACGGACGAAUACACAUCAAUAGGAAUAAAUUACGAAUUGAGGUCAAAAGUUAAUGGUUUGUGCGGUGAUGCUAAUGGAGAUAGACGUAACGAUUUUAGGGAAAAGAACGGUAAAUUACUAAAUGAAUCUUUAAGAAGUGGAGAAAUUAUAGCUCAUUCUUGGAUUGAUAUUAGCCAACCGAAUUGUGUAGCUCCACCCCCUCACCUUAUAACAUCUAAGGAUUGCAUAAAUGACGAACAUCCUCUAUGCAAUCUGAUUCUAUCUGAAGAAGAAUCGAAAGUUUGUGGUGAGAGUGUUAGUGUUGAUACAGCUCAUAGAAAUUGUAAAUUGGAUACAUGUUUCGCCGAUGAGAAUUACAGGAAAUUUUUUGCUUGCCAAAGCAUCAGAGACUUUUUAUUUGAUUGUCAAAGAAGUGGUUAUACUAUGGAGUCGUUUAAAGCAAUAGCAGUUUCCGAAUGCAUGAUCGAUAAACCAUGCUCUGAAUUGGAGGAGGGUCAAUGCGCUUUUGGAACUUGUGGCAAAAUGUUUGACGGCCAUAUUUGUUUCUGUCACAAAGGUUAUAGGGGUCCCAAAUGCGAUAUUACAGUUGAUAUUUAA
rnacentral:misc_RNA from 1 species